UACAGAGGGGGCAAGCGUUGUUCGGAAUUACUGGGCGUAAAGGGCGCGUAGGCGGCCCGCUAAGUCGAACGUGAAAUCCCCGAGCUCAACUCGGGAACUGCGUCCGAUACUGGCGGGCUUGAAUCCGGGAGAGGGAUGCGGAAUUCCAGGUGUAGCGGCGAAAUGCGUAGAUAUCUGGAGGAACACCGGUGGCGAAGGCGGCAUCCUGGACCGGCAUUGACGCUGAGGCGCGAAAGCUAGGGGAGCAAACGGG
rnacentral:rRNA from 1 species